rnacentral:rRNA from 1 species
GAUGAACGCUGGCGGCGUGCUUAACACAUGCAAGUCGAACGGAAAGGCCCAAGCUUGCUGGGGUGCUCGAGUGGCGAACGGGUGAGUAACACGUGGGUGAUCUGCCCUGGACUUCGGGAUAACUCUGGGAAACUGGGGCUAAUACCGGAUAGGACCACAUGCUGGAUGGUGGGGGGGAGAGUUUUUCGGUGGGGGAUGAGCUCGCGGCCUAUCAGCUGGUUGGUGGGGGAAUGGCUUACUAAGAGGUCUACGGGGAGCGGGCCGGGGAGGAGGACCGGCGACAUUGGGCUGGGGUUCCGGCCCGACUCCUUACGGGAGGAGGCAGUGGGGAAUAUUGAACAUUGGGGGGAGGCUGAAUGCAGCAACGCGGGGGGGGGGUGACCGGCUUUGGGUUGGUAACCCCCUUCCCCAGGGGCGGAGCGUUGUGUGACGGUACUUGGUGAAGAAGCACCGGCUAACUACGUG